UCCUGGUUAACUCAGUCGGUAGAUCACUCCACUGGAAUUGGAGGGCCCUGGUUUGAUACCAGGACCAGGCG
rnacentral:tRNA from 1 species